ACAGCCACCCACCCCAAUGGGUGGUGGCAGAGGGGGGACCCUCCAGAGGGACGGUGGUGGGACCCCACCGCUGACCCCGCAGCGUUUCGGGCAGGCCUGCUCCCUGCCCACGUCGGAACACCUCCCUUGGCUGAAAAGAAGGGU
rnacentral:ncRNA from 7 species